UUCCAGACUCCUACGGGAGGCAGCAGUGAGGAAUAUUGGUCAAUGGGAGAGAUCCUGAACCAGCCAAGCCGCGUGAGGGAAGACGGCCCUAUGGGUUGUAAACCUCUUUUGUCGGAGAACAAAACCCGGGACGUGUCCCGGACUGCGUGUAUCCGAAGAAAAAGCAUCGGCUAACUCCGUGCCAGCAGCCGCGGUAAUACGGAGGAUGCGAGCGUUAUCCGGAUUUAUUGGGUUUAAAGGGUGCGCAGGCGGGAGAUCAAGUCAGCGGUAAAAUGUCGGGGCUCAACCCCGGCCGGCCGUUGAAACUGGUUUUCUAGAGUUGGAGAGAAGUAUGCGGAAUUCGUGGUGUAGCGGUGAAAUGCAUAGAUAUCACGAAGAACUCCGAUUGCGAAGGCAGCAUACCGGCUCCAUACUGACGCUGAGGCACGAAAGCGUGGGGAUCGAACAGGAUUAGAUACCCCUGUA
rnacentral:rRNA from 1 species